rnacentral:tRNA from 3 species
GCCGAAGUGGUGGAAUUGGUAGACACGCUAGACUUAGGAUCUAGUGCCGCGAGGCGUGGAGGUUCAAGUCCUCUCUUCGGUACCA